AAUAUAUGUCGAAAGCAGGUGAUUAAUCUGUUUACCAUAUUCUUGUACCCUUUUUUAGAUUGCAUUUCAUAAACUAGUUCUUUGUUUUCCACAGUACGUGUGGACAUGCUUACACUGCAUGCAUUGGGGUGGAACCACACAAAAAGGGCCUCUCUACACCAAGCACUUUCCACUAGAUAUGUAAGUCUGGUAAGUCUGUAUUUGUGGUUUGGUUGUGUCAUGUAUUGACACAUUUGUUGUUCACUUGGCUUGUUAAUCCUUAAGGGCAUUAACCUGAUUAUUAUAUAACACUAUUUAUCAGACAUGUCAAAGUUUCCUGGACGAGACUGCAAGGCUAGCUGAGCUAAAAACAGAGCUGCAUUGCUCGGAUGAUGAAAUGACAUCACAGUGGAUCUCUGAGGUGAUGGAAUGGGCAGCUGGAGAGAGACACCAAAUGCACCUCAUACCACUGAAGGCACCACACAGAGCGAACUUCAGCAGUCCAUCAUGGGGCUCUACCUUAGAGUCAGGCAAUGGAAACAAACCCCCUACCGUCAGGAUGUCUUUUCAGACAGCAGCAAGUUUCGCCACCGCCCUCAGAGGAAGCUGGGAGAAGACAAAAAACUGCUUCUUCAGGAGAUGCAGAGGUACAAUGGACUAGUACCAGACUCUGCAGCAAUUGAUGAGGCUGCUUUGGAGAACACAUUUUAUAUAAGCCCUGAUGAAGGCCUGUGGCCGCAAUGCGUUGACUUGUUUUAAUUUGUAUGGCCAUGCUGCAAUAAAGACUUUUUAAAUCGCUCUCCUACUCUGAGUGCCUCAGUUCCUGCUAUCACUCAGUA